UUGUAUCUGAGAUGACACCAGGAAUGACAACAUUGUACAUUUUUCACUAUAACUCAUGUACUUCUGUACUUGAGUAAAUGUGACAAUAAAAUCUAAAUCUAAGGGAUAACUUUUCACACAGAGGGUGGUGCUAAUAUGGAAUGAACUGCAAGAGGAAGUGAUGGAGGCAGAUACAGCAUUUAAAAAAUCUUUUGGACAGCGCCAGGGACCUGGGUUUGACUCCACCCUCGGGCGACUGUCUGUGUGGACUUUGCAUUUUCUCCAUGUCCGUUUGGGGUUCCUCCCACAGUCGAAAGAUGUGCAGGCUAAGUGAAUUGAUCAUGCUUUGUCUCAGUCAUUUAACUCCAUUCUGCACUGAGUGUGCAUCCUUAGUGGCAUCUGUAGCUCGGACAUGCAUCUCCACUCAUUUGAAGCUUUAACCAUGACCAGGCCCAUCAGUGACUGGAGGAAGGGCUUGCCAGACGGCAGAGGGUGAUCUCCUGAUGUCGGACACUCUGGAAGAGGCCCACCUCUUGAAAGGAACAGCAGCAUGAAGUUCAAAGAAGAAGAGAUGGAGGGGCCUCCAUCUUGAGUCUGCAAUUUUUAAAACAUUUACCUUUUUAAGAGCUAUAGAGAAAACCCAGAGCUGUAACUGCACAGAAGCCAUUUGGCCCACCUUGGCUGCACCAGCUCUAUUGCCAAUCCCUUGCCUUUUCCCCAUUUCCACGUAAACCCUUUCCAUCCAAAUAAUCCCACACACUCCAACCCUGUAUUUCCGAUGGCUAAUCCUGGGCACUGUGGGCAAUUUAGCAGGGCCAAUCUACCUAACCUGUGGGAGGAAACCCAUGCAGACAUGGGGUGAAUGUGUGAACUCCACACAAACAGUUGCCUGAGGCUGGAAUUGAACGUGGGUCCCUGGUGCUGUGAGGAGGCAGUGUUAACCUCUGAAUCACCAUGCUGCCCCAAGACAACUAGAUAGCAUUUUGAUAGAUAACGGAGUCUAUAGCUACGGGAGCAUAGGAAAAUGGAGCUGAGGCAACAAGAUCAGCCAUGAUCUUAAUGAAUAGCUCGAAGGAGCGAAUGGCCUACUUAUAUUUCAAUGCUGUAAGCCUGCCAAGAGUACUGACCCUCCAUCAGGAGUCUGCAUCCAAGCUUUUAACCUGGAUCCCUGAGGGGACCCCAAAGAUCAACCUGAAAUUUCAAUCAGCCUCUGCCUUAAAAUGCCUGAAAUGGUUAAGCGUUGAUUAUGGGUGCUAGUCCCCCAUCCGACCUUGAUCCUGC